UACGAAGGGGGCUAGCGUUGUUCGGAAUUACUGGGCGUAAAGCGCGCGCAGGCGGUUCUCCAAGUCAGUGGUGAAAGCCCGGAGCUCAACUCCGGAACUGCCAUUGAAACUGUUGAACUUGAGGACGAGAGAGGCGAGUGGAAUUCCUGGUGUAGCGGUGAAAUGCGCAGAUAUCAGGAGGAACACCAAUGGCGAAGGCAGCUCGCUGGGACGGUACUGACGCUGAGACGCGAAAGCGUGGGGAGCAAACGGG
rnacentral:rRNA from 1 species